rnacentral:sRNA from 1 species
GCUAGGCAUGGUGGCCCACACCUGUAAUUCCAGCUACUUGAAAGGCUGAGGCAGGAGGAUCACAGUUUCAAGGCCAACCCGGGUGACUUAGUGAGAACCUGUCUCAA